AGGGGACGGCUACCAUGCAAGUCGAACGGUAGCACAGAGAGCUUGCUCUCGGGUGACGAGUGGCGGACGGGUGAGUAAUGUCUGGGAAACUGCCUGAUGGAGGGGGAUAACUACUGGAAACGGUAGCUAAUACCGCAUAACGUCGCAAGACCAAAGAGGGGGACCUUCGGGCCUCUUGCCAUCAGAUGUGCCCAGAUGGGAUUAGCUAGUAGGUGGGGUAACGGCUCACCUAGGCGACGAUCCCUAGCUGGUCUGAGAGGAUGACCAGCCACACUGGAACUGAGACACGGUCCAGACUCCUACGGGAGGCAGCAGUGGGGAAUAUUGCACAAUGGGCGCAAGCCUGAUGCAGCCAUGCCGCGUGUAUGAAGAAGGCCUUCGGGUUGUAAAGUACUUUCAGCGGGGAGGAAGGUGUUGUGGUUAAUAACCGCAGCAAUUGACGUUACCCGCAGAAGAAGCACCGGCUAACUCCGUGCCAGCAGCCGCGGUAAUACGGAGGGUGCAAGCGUUAAUCGGAAUUACUGGGCGUAAAGCGCACGCAGGCGGUCUGUCAAGUCGGAUGUGAAAUCCCCGGUCUCAACCUGGGAACUGCAUUCGAAACUGGUAGGUUAUAGUCUUGUAUAGGUUGGUAUAAUUCCAGGUGUAGCGAGGCCAUGCGUAG
rnacentral:rRNA from 1 species